GGGGGAACCCCAGCCUCAGCGCCUACUGGGCACGGAUAGGAGGAGGGGUCCCUCCCUCUUAGCUCGGGGGGAGGGAUCUGCCCUGGUAUUCAAGUGUCCUGCCUCUCCAGCCCUGUCUUCUACCGUCACCAUCGGCCUUUGCUGCUGUCAGUUGAACACAGUUUCCCCACCCCUUACCCUUUUCCCUUCCUCCCCACCGGUGGCCUCUGCGGCCCGCCUCGCCCUCCCCGUCCACAGUGGAGGAGCUGAGACUUUCUCUGAAACUCAGCCAGAGCCUUUUCCAACAACAAGGGCAGGGAGGGGGAAGGAAGGUUGUUGAGCUUGGGAGGGGAUCCUGGGAUCUGUAGUUCGGAGGAUGGUACAGCCUGUGUCCGCUUCACGGACAGCCUGGUAAGGGGAACUACAGGGGUGGAUUCAUAGCUGCAAAAGGAGGUGAAGUUGGAGGAGGCCCGAGAGAGAAACUAGAGAGGGUGAGAAACUUUCUUCUUGGAAAAGUCUCCUGCGUGAACGUUGUCCAUUUAAAGCAAAGCCCAAGAAGUUUUCUGGAAAAUCAUUACUGAACAAAUGUGCUGUGACAGAUGCUGCUUGGGGAAAAAGGCCUGUUUUGAUGUGCACCAUGGAGGAUUUGUGUUCCUGUGCUAGGAGACUCUCCUUCUCAGGUAUGAAGCGGAAAUUUACAGAUAAAGCAAUGAAGAAGGAGCAGUAAGUUUGCUAGCCAGCCUUGUAGAAACUUCCUCCAGACUAUACAGUCAUUAACAUAUGCAGAAAUAAAUCAGCAGGAUGUUCCCGCCCUUCCUCCCCCUCCCCCGCAAGACAAUAGCUUUGCACCUGUUGAAGACUUAUGAAAUUGGGCAGAUUUUUCUUUUUCUCUCACUGUAAGCAUUUUAUAGGUCAGGCACAGUGGAAAAUCAGUGAUCCAAACCAAACUGAAAUGUGUGUUGUAGUGGUUGACUUGGUCAUGUAACUGGUUGAAAUUAAAAGUAUUAUAGGGAUAACCUUGUGUUCUUGUGGCAGUGGAAUGCACAGCCAUGUAAGAGAUCAGUAUUUAGGCCCAGAUCCACAAAAGGAUUUAGGCACCUACAGCUCAGAUUUAGGCACCUAAGUCCCCGUUGUGGGCAUCACUGUGAUUCACAAAA